UACGUAGGGUGCAAGCGUUGUUCGGAAUUACUGGGCGUAAAGGGCGCGUAGGCGGGCCCGUAUGUCGAUUGUGAAAGCCCUGGGCUUAACCCGGGAAUGGCAGUCGAAACUGCGGGUCUUGAGUGCCUGAGAGGAUGGCGGAAUUCCCGGUGUAGAAGUGAAAUUCGUAGAUAUCGGGAAGAACACCUGAGGCGAAGGCGGCUAUCUGGCGGUGCACUGACGCUGAGGCGCGAAAGCCAGGGGAGCGAACGGG
rnacentral:rRNA from 1 species